GAUUUAUCGUCUUACAGGUAUGUGUGUCCCUCAGCCCCAAGGUUAGACUCAGCUGUUUCACAAGUUCAGUGGCACCUUCAGUUUUCUGUCUCCAGAUAAGCCACAUCCCUGCCCCCUUGAAGCCAAUUUCAAAUUGCUCAGAGACAUUCCUGAAAUCCGCCAGUAUGCCAGAAGGAAGGAGACAUUCCCAAUUCCUUUCCUGAGGCUUAGUGCCUGUGUUCAGGUAUUUUGUUUGCAUGUAGGCCUGUGCCCCACUUGCAUGAAAUACCCACAGAGGCUGGUAGGCGGCAUCAGAUUCUCUGGAACUGCAGUUAACAGGCAGUUGUGAGCUGCUACGUGGGCACUGUGAAUCCAGCCUAGAUCCUCUGGAAGACCAGCUUUUAACUACCUAGUCCUCUCUCCAGCCCCCGAAGUUAACCUCUUGAAACCUCAUUUUCUUGGUUUUAAAAUAGAGAAAAGUAAAAUUCUGAGAACCUGAGUGAAGAUUUGAAGCUCAUUCCUAUAACAAAGGAAGAGUCCAGUGCUACUUAACAGCUUAAACUCUUAAGGUGCCAGUGUGUUUGAUGCUCCCUUAUCUGUGCAGCAGUAUUUGAUAUAUUUCACCUGGCGCCUACUUUUCAGCAGCUGUGGAGGGUAUUUACAAAGCCCAAGAAAUGCUGUCUCCAGAGGAUGCAGGAAGUGAUGCCGUCCUGGGAAGGGUGCACGAGUUCAUGAUGCAGAGUGAAAGUCCCUCACUCCUGCAGUUGAUGCUUCCAGCGAGUUCAGAGUUAGGAAAGCGCUUCCCGAACUCAGAGAAAAUAAACCGUUCCAUAUGGAGCAGAUUCUGAAAUUAGAUUAAUCACACGUUCUAAAACAAGUUUCAUCUGUCCGCCUCCCACAAGAUGAUCUAAAUCACCAUCCUCAGGUCAUGUGGCAGAAACACUAUUAUCUGACAGCCGGCUCAAAGUGGAGGACUUGACAGCGAACAGCAAGGAGCUGAGGUUUGCCAUGAAGACUGACCUUUCCAGGGAAAUUUCUAGAACUUAUUCAACAUGGGAGGAGAGAAAAAGAGAAGGGGAAGUGUCCCGCGCGCGCUAUGUUCUCACCGGCAAGAAUCACGCAGGACACUCGGAUCCUUCUGCAGGAAAGCUUUAAUGCGUCUUGAGAGAGGAGAGCAUAAGCUUACCAGAGCGGAGACCCCGGCCCAAGAAUCCCGUUCCUUAAUAAAGGCUGGCAGCCCGCCUGGGAUGUGUUACCCUAUGAAUGGCUUCAGCUCCUCAGGCCA
rnacentral:lncRNA from 1 species